rnacentral:rRNA from 1 species
GACAGAGGGUGCAAACGUUGUUCGGAAUUACUGGGCGUAAAGGGCGCGUAGGCGGCCUGCUAAGUCGGACGUGAAAUCCCCGAGCUCAACUCGGGAACUGCGUCCGAUACUGGCAGGCUUGAAUCCGGGAGAGGGAUGCGGAAUUCCAGGUGUAGCGGUGAAAUGCGUAGAUAUCUGGAGGAAUACCGGUGGCGAAGGCGGCAUCCUGGACCGGCAUUGACGCUGAGGAGCGAAAGCCAGGGGAGCAAACGGG